UGCAAGUGGUGCAGGUAAUAUAGCACAGUUCCAAUUCAUCAAAGUCCCUCAAAAUCUAGAGAAGUCCGCUGACGUGAAUAUAGGGCAAAACAAUCUCUCAAUUCCUGAAUUACUGGAGAUGGAUCCAGGUGAAUUAAAAUGACAUAAUGAAUGUCAAAAUUUGGCGGAUGAAAUCUCUUAGCAGUUUCCUGGUUUGGGGGUGUUGGAAGAGUAGAUCCAAACGAGGGUGGCGACGGCUACUCGCGGUGAAUAAUUUUGGCAUUCACCACUUUUUUAUUUUAUUUAGCCUAAUAAUAAACUAUGAAGUACAGAUGCCAUUGAAUUUCACCUUUAAACUGCUGCCUUUAUUUCAGUGUGGGUUAAUGGUGAAGAUGUAUUGUGUAUUUUGGAUUAAUAGGUAUGUUUAUGGUUUUGAAGUGAGGGUUUGUUGGUGGUGGGAGAGGUGGAAACAGUUGGUUGAGGGGGAUCGAAUUUUAUAAAAUCUAUCGAUCAGAAGAAACGAUUUGAACUCUGUUAUCAAAUUGACACAAUUAAAAGAGAAAGAGAAAGAGAAAGGGUAAGGUAAA
rnacentral:lncRNA from 1 species